GCAUAGAUAGAAUUAUAAAGCAAUCAAAUUCAAUUAAACUUUAAAAAAUAUUAUCAUUUUAAUUUGUGUGUUAUUCUUUCUACAACAAUUUUUGUCACAAAAAAAACUAUUAUUUAUCAUGACUUUAACUAUCUCUCGUAAGAUCAAUUUAACAAUUACGAAAGCCAAAUGGACAAACAUGGUAAACCAAUAUUUUUCAUAAUAAUUUUACACAAGAAUUAAAAACUAUUUAAUUGAAGGGACAUAGCAAGAAGUUUUUUACUAUAUAAAUUGAUCCAAAUAGUUUCAAUUUAUUACAUGUGAAAAUGGCUGAAAUUUUCAAGUUUGUUUAUACUAGUAUCCUUUUUGUUUCCCUAUUGCUUGUUGUCGUCAAUGUUUAUGGAAAGCGUAAUCCUCCUAAUUUUCAACGUAUACCAUGCCCUGAUCAGAAAACUCUUUACUGCACUCUAAAAAAAUGUUACUGCAUUUAACAGUUAAGAUUAUGUUCAAAAUGGUUGUGGCAAGGCAACUUCGCUUGGGAAAGAGUAGUUUAGGGCUUAAUUAUGCCUAGCUAUAUUUCAUUUUCCAGUGUUUUUAGUAUUGUUAGUUUAGUUUAGUUUAGUUUUGUUGUAUUCCUAAGAAAUUAUUGUU